GGCCUCGUAGUACAAUGGAUAGUACGAGGGUUUCCGAAGCCCUAAAUGCAGGUUCGAUUCCUGCCGAGGCCA
rnacentral:tRNA from 1 species